GAUCCAAUGUUUGGGCUGAUGACGUCACGACGCGUGUGCCGCUCCCGCGAGUCGUUCCGACCCAUCACCGGUCCGUGACAUUCCGGACAUCUGCGGACAAAGAGCGUGGAAGCUCAUCGGAUCCUGCGGCGCAAGGAAAUGUUCUGAUCCUCAGAUUCUCGCCCUCGCGAAGCUUCAGGCUCGCUCCUUGCAGGCCACCGGCAAUGGGUCAAGAGGUCAUCGCAGUGACCAUCGCCAAGGACCGCAGAGCUUGGAGGGAGGGGGGAUUUGGUGCCAGCUCCUGAUCGCGUGGCUGCUGCUGCUGCUGCUGCUGAAUCUCCCCGCUCGUCUGUGGUUCCUCCUCCUCGUGGUUGCGAGCAGCCGGGCAACCGGUUGCAGGCAGCCACGCAACCGGUUGCAAGAGGGAGAGACGGAGACUCUACUUGCAAGCGGUGUGCCGAUCUGCUCGGCGAUUUGCAAGCGACGCGCUUUACCGUCACGUGACACGUUUUCCAAAGUUGCGCAACUACUCGCUCAGAUGCGGACAAAGCAGUUGCGGCGCGAUGAUGAAGUUGCGCGAUUUGGACUGCGAUUUUUCGGCAGCAUUGCCUGUGCUGAACCAAUGCUGCUGAAAAUAAACUUACGGAAGGCCGUUUGACUGAUGGGAUGUGUAAAAAAGAUACUUGAUUUGUUUCGUUUAUAUGUGCAGGGGAAAUAUAUGGGAAGGAUGAUGGUGAAGCAGAGCCCACAUCUGGUCCAGUCUGCCACGUCGAACCGAGAGAGGGCCCUUGCCUAUAGACA